UACAGAGGGUGCGAGCGUUAAUCGGAAUACUGGGCGUAAAGCGUGCGCAGGCGGUUAUGUAAGACAGGUGUGAAAUCCCCGGGCUUAACCUGGGAACUGCAUUUGUGACUGCAUAGCUAGAGUACGGUAGAGGGGGAUGGAAUUCCGCGUGUAGCAGUGAAAUGCGUAGAUAUGCGAAGGAACACCGAUGGCGAAGGCAAUCCCCUGGACCUGUACUGACGCUCAUGCACGAAAGCGUGGGGAGCAAACGAGG
rnacentral:rRNA from 1 species